UGACUGAAUCCCUUUUCCGAGCAUCGCGUUGAAGUUACGUUUGUUCGAAGGUUCUCGCAAUUUUCUUGAACUCAUGGCCGCAUGGUCUUCUAGAAAGUUGCUGAGAGAUGUUAUUCUCAAAAGGUUUUUCUUCUGCGGCAAAAAGUGCUCCCAAGAUCGGUUACUAUUCCAAGAAGGUGCGUUUUCUCAUUUCUUUUGUGUGUAUGCAUGGUGUUCGACAUUAUGCAUUGUCGUGUUGAAAUUUAAUGUGCUGAAAGAUCUUGUAUGCAAUGUGUGUGCUGUUUGAUUAAGUUUGUGCGUUGUAUGUGCAUGCAAAUAUUGAAGUGGUUUCACCAGAAAACAAAUUCUUGAUACCUUGUGUCAAAAGAAAAUGCAUACCUUGCAAGCUGGUUCUUGAAAUUGCAGUGUGUAGUAAACAAAAGUCAAAGGUGAAAGAAGCUUGUGAAAUUUGAACGAAAGCGGUGUAUGCCGAAGUGAGGUCGGAAACAGGAAUGUGGUGGCUCCGGCGGCGGCGGAGCCGUCGGCAGAGAAAGACCGGUGAUUGGAAAAAUGACGCAGUCACAAAGGUGAUUUCCUUUACGCUUGAAAAAGAGUCUCGGAGCUACUGAUGAAUGUCUUGUUGGGCUUUCGUCUGAAGCCCAACUAGACAAGUGUAGAUAUGGGCCGCUAUUCACAACGUGGAUUUUCAUUUUUACACCAUUUUUAUAUUUUUGUACGAUAAUAUUAUUUAAAUCUGUUUUUGG
rnacentral:lncRNA from 1 species